rnacentral:rRNA from 1 species
UACGGAGGGUGCAAGCGUUGUCCGGAUUUAUUGGGCGUAAAGAGCUCGUAGGCGGUUUGUCGCGUCGUUCGUGAAAACUCACAGCUUAACUGUGAGCUUGCGGUCGAUACGGGCAGGCUAGAGUUCGGUAGGGGAGACUGGAAUUCCUGGUGUAGCGGUGAAAUGCGCAGAUAUCAGGAGGAACACCGGUGGCGAAGGCGGGUCUCUGGGCCGAUACUGACGCUGAGGAGCGAAAGCCAGGGGAGCAAACGGG